GGAAGGGGUGUGCCCGGACCGACGCAUUCACCAAGAGAUGCAGAGCGGAGCUUGUGGAGUAAGGUACUGGAAGUCCUAUAUACUUGCAUGGGGCUAAAGACAAAAACCCAUCUUUCACGUAAGGGGGAACCAUUUUAAGCAAACGUGCAGGGCCGGUUCUAACUUUUCUGCUGCCUGGAAAAGGCAAAUAAAAACUGAAAUGGCACCCCCUGAUGGAAUCGUAAAUAAAGGAUGGUUUUACGGAAGGUGAUACCUUUGGAAAAAACCACGAUUGUAUUUCUGGAUGGGACCCUAUCCAAGGAUCUGCGGAGAUCUGCGAACCCGGGCAAACUGAGAACACACCAGAAUAGUUGUGUCAACGCGAUUCAUGGUGUUGUGCCCAGGGCACGACACAACCAGUAACAAAACCCCUCCAGAAAAUCAGCUCGAGCAAGCCAAGUUGAUGCCCCAGUCCUCGAAGUCCUGCCUGCAUCUGCUCCACAUAUGAAGACAGCUGUGGUGCGCAAAACCACAUUAUGUAAAGAUUACUGUGCCAAAGUUAUUUCUGAAAUUAUUCUAUCCCGCUGCCCCAUGUGAUUUUGUAACCAUAAAGGAAAAAGAGACAAGCACCGUGCAACAAGGCGGCUCGAACAGCUGUCAUUGGAGCUAUUGCUCGGGUAAAAGAUAUCCGUCAUGUUCUGAAAUACUACCUGACACUUUCCCUGAAACAAUGGCUGAACACAAUUCCUCCACAAAAAAAUAAUAAAACUGCAAAUUAAAGUAACUAAUGAUGAAAUAUUCAGCUUUCUCCUCGUACAUUAACAGUAUAAUUACGUACAGACAAUGAGCCAUGCUAACAGAGAAAGGCUGGGCUUACAAGGAGCGAUAAAUGUAUCAGACCAACAGCUAAUAGGAUCCCUACUUGGCAUAAGAAAGCACCACUUUCCCCAUAAUGGAUGUCUUCAUUAAAUUUCUUUGUAGAUGCCACCAUUGAAGCCAUUGCAGUGUGAUCAGACAAGAGUGAAGGCAAGAUAAUGAUGGUUCUAAUAUUUACAUCUAGUGGUUUAUACUACAACCCAACAUUAACACAGUUGGCAAACACUGAGCAACACAAAGAUGUGGGAACC